UUUAAUGAGAGUUUGAUCCUGGCUCAGGAUGAACGCUGGCGGCGUGCCUAAUACAUGCAAGUAGAACGCUGAAGUCCGGUACUUGUACCAGACGGAUGAGUUGCGAACGGGUGAGUAACGCGUAGGUAACCUGCCUGGUAGCGGGGGAUAACUAUUGGAAACGAUAGCUAAUACCGCAUAACAAUGAAUGACACAUGUCAUUUAUUUGAAAGGUGCAAUUGCACCACUACCAGAUGGACCUGCGUUGUAUUAGCUAGUUGGUGAGGUAACGGCUCACCAAGGCGACGAUACAUAGCCGACCUGAGAGGGUGAUCGGCCACACUGGGACUGAGACACGGCCCAGACUCCUACGGGAGGCAGCAGUAGGGAAUCUUCGGCAAUGGGGGCAACCCUGACCGAGCAACGCCGCGUGAGUGAAGAAGGUUUUCGGAUCGUAAAGCUCUGUUGUAAAGGAAGAACGAGUGUUAGAGUGGAAAGUUGACACUGUGACGGUACUUUACCAGAAAGGGACGGCUAACUACGUGCCAGCAGCCGCGGUAAUACGUAGGUCCCGAGCGUUAUCCGGAUUUAUUGGGCGUAAAGCGAGCGCAGGCGGUUAGAUAAGUCUGAAGUGAAAGGCUAUGGCUCAACCAUAGUAUGCUUUGGAAACUGUUUAACUUGAGUGCAGAAGGGGAGAGUGGAAUUCCAUGUGUAGCGGUGAAAUGCGUAGAUAUAUGGAGGAACACCGGUGGCGAAAGCGGCUCUCUGGUCUGUAACUGACGCUGAGGCUCGAAAGCGUGGGUAGCGAACAGGAUUAGAUACCCUGGUAGUCCACGCCGUAAACGAUGAGUGCUAGGUGUUAGACCCUUUCCGGGGUUCAGUGCCGCAGCUAACGCAUUAAGCACUCCGCCUGGGGAGUACGACCGCAAGGUUGAAACUCAAAGGAAUUGACGGGGGCCCGCACAAGCGGUGGAGCAUGUGGUUUAA
rnacentral:rRNA from 1 species